rnacentral:ncRNA from 1 species
GUUAAAUCAUUGAUGAGGUUAAAGUAUACAGCAAGCGGCAUUUACAGAGAGCCGGGAUAGGUGGAACCCGGUAUUGCCAGCUGUAUAUGACAUCCCCUCGGAGUGGAACACUGAAAUCUUUCAGUAGGUGUUCACGGACAAUUUGUUCGUUAACAAAGAACAGUCUAACUGUUCAUGAGGCAGCAUUUGCUGUGAAGUAGGGUGGUACCAUGAAAAGUCUUUCAUCCCUAUA